rnacentral:rRNA from 1 species
GACGAACGCUGGCGGCGUGCUUAACACAUGCAAGUCGAACGAGUGGCGAACGGGUGAGUAAUACGUGAGUAAACUGCCCUCUUUUUGGGAUAAGCCUUGGAAACGGGGUCUAAUACCGGAUAAAGGGGGAUGGGCUCGCGGCCUAUCGGCUUGUUGGUGGGGUGAUGGCCUACCAAGGCGGUGACGGGUCGCCGGCCUGAUAGGGUGACCGGCGACUGAGGGACGGCGAUACGGCCCAGAGUCCUAAGCGGGGCGGCAGUGGGGGAUAUUGCACAAUGGGCGAAAGCCUGAUGCAGCGACGCCGCGUGGGGGAUGAAGGCUUUCGGGUUGUAAUCCUCUUUCGCAAUAGAACUGGUAGGUGGAGAAGAAGCGCCGGCUAACUACGUGCCAGCAGCCGCGGUAAUUC